rnacentral:rRNA from 1 species
GGUUAAGCGACUAAGCGUACACGGUGGAUGCCCUGGCAGUCAGAGGCGAUGAAGGACGUGCUAAUCUGCGAUAAGCGUCGGUAAGGUGAUAUGAACCGUUAUAACCGGCGAUUUCCGAAUGGGGAAACCCAGUGUGUUUCGACACACUAUCAUUAACUGAAUCCAUAGGUUAAUGAGGCGAACCGGGGAACUGAAACAUCUAAGUACCCCGAGGAAAAGAAAUCAACCGAGAUUCCCCCAGUAGCGGCGAGCGAACGGGGAGCAGCCCAGAGCCUGAAUCAGUGUGUGUGUUAGUGGAAGCGUCUGGAAAGGCGCGCGAUACAGGGUGACAGCCCCGUACACAAAAAUGCACAUGCUGUGAGCUCGAUGAGUAGGGCGGGACACGUGGUAUCCUGUCUGAAUAUGGGGGACCAUCCUCCAAGGCUAAAUACUCCUGACUGACCGAUAGUGAACCAGUACCGUGAGGGAAAGGCGAAAAGAACCCCGGCGAGGGGAGUGAAAAAGAACCUGAAACCGUGUACGUACAAGCAGUGGGAGCCUCUUUAUGGGGUGACUGCGUACCUUUGUAUAAUGGGUCAGCGACUUAUAUUCUGUAGCAAGGUUAACCGAAUAGGGGAGCCGAAGGGAAACCGAGUCUUAACUGGGCGUUAAGUUGCAGGGUAUAGACCCGAAACCCGGUGAUCUAGCCAUGGGCAGGUUGAAGGUUGGGUAACACUAACUGGAGGACCGAACCGACUAAUGUUGAAAAAUUAGCGGAUGACUUGUGGCUGGGGGUGAAAGGCCAAUCAAACCGGGAGAUAGCUGGUUCUCCCCGAAAGCUAUUUAGGUAGCGCCUCGUGAAUUCAUCUCCGGGGGUAGAGCACUGUUUCGGCAAGGGGUCAUCCCGACUUACCAACCCGAUGCAAACUGCGAAUACCGGAGAAUGUUAUCACGGGAGACACACGGCGGGUGCUAACGUCCGUCGUGAAGAGGGAAACAACCCAGACCGCCAGCUAAGGUCCCAAAGUCAUGGUUAAGUGGGAAACGAUGUGGGAAGGCCCAGACAGCCAGGAUGUUGGCUUAGAAGCAGCCAUCAUUUAAAGAAAGCGUAAUAGCUCACUGGUCGAGUCGGCCUGCGCGGAAGAUGUAACGGGGCUAAACCAUGCACCGAAGCUGCGGCAGCGACGCUUAUGCGUUGUUGGGUAGGGGAGCGUUCUGUAAGCCUGUGAAGGUGUGCUGUGAGGCAUGCUGGAGGUAUCAGAAGUGCGAAUGCUGACAUAAGUAACGAUAAAGCGGGUGAAAAGCCCGCUCGCCGGAAGACCAAGGGUUCCUGUCCAACGUUAAUCGGGGCAGGGUGAGUCGACCCCUAAGGCGAGGCCGAAAGGCGUAGUCGAUGGGAAACAGGUUAAUAUUCCUGUACUUGGUGUUACUGCGAAGGGGGACGGAGAAGGCUAUGUUGGUACGGGCGACGGUUGUCCCGGUUUAAGCGUGUAGGCUGGUUUUCCAGGCAAAUCCGGAAAAUCAAGGCUGAGGCGUGAUGACGAGGCACUACGGUGCUGAAGCAACAAAUGCCCUGCUUCCAGGAAAAGCCUCUAAGCAUCAGGUAACAUCAAAUCGUACCCCAAACCGACACAGGUGGUCAGGUAGAGAAUACCAAGGCGCUUGAGAGAACUCGGGUGAAGGAACUAGGCAAAAUGGUGCCGUAACUUCGGGAGAAGGCACGCUGAUAUGUAGGUGAAGCGACUUGCUCGUGGAGCUGAAAUCAGUCGAAGAUACCAGCUGGCUGCAACUGUUUAUUAAAAACACAGCACUGUGCAAACACGAAAGUGGACGUAUACGGUGUGACGCCUGCCCGGUGCCGGAAGGUUAAUUGAUGGGGUCAGCGCAAGCGAAGCUCUUGAUCGAAGCCCCGGUAAACGGCGGUACGUAACUAUAACGGUCCUAAGGUAGCGAAAUUCCUUGUCGGGUAAGUUCCGACCUGCACGAAUGGCGUAAUGAUGGCCAGGCUGUCUCCACCCGAGACUCAGUGAAAUUGAACUCGCUGUGAAGAUGCAGUGUACCCGCGGCAAGACGGAAAGACCCCGUGAACCUUUACUAUAGCUUGACACUGAACAUUGAGCCUUGAUGUGUAGGAUAGGUGGGAGGCUUAGAAGUGUGGACGCCAGUCUGCAUGGAGCCGACCUUGAAAUACCACCCUUUAAUGUUUGAUGUUCUAACGUUGACCCGUAAUCCGGGUUGCGGACAGUGUCUGGUGGGUAGUUUGACUGGGGCGGUCUCCUCCUAAAGAGUAACGGAGGAGCACGAAGGUUGGCUAAUCCUGGUCGGACAUCAGGAGGUUAGUGCAAUGGCAUAAGCCAGCUUGACUGCGAGCGUGACGGCGCGAGCAGGUGCGAAAGCAGGUCAUAGUGAUCCGGUGGUUCUGAAUGGAAGGGCCAUCGCUCAACGGAUAAAAGGUACUCCGGGGAUAACAGGCUGAUACCGCCCAAGAGUUCAUAUCGACGGCGGUGUUUGGCACCUCGAUGUCGGCUCAUCACAUCCUGGGGCUGAAGUAGGUCCCAAGGGUAUGGCUGUUCGCCAUUUAAAGUGGUACGCGAGCUGGGUUUAGAACGUCGUGAGACAGUUCGGUCCCUAUCUGCCGUGGGCGCUGGAGAACUGAGGGGGCUGCUCCUAGUACGAGAGGACCGGAGUGGACGCAUCACUGGUGUUCGGGUUGUCAUGCCAAUGGCACUGCCCGGUAGCUAAAUGCGGAAGAGAUAAGUGCUGAAAGCAUCUAAGCACGAAACUUGCCCCGAGAUGAGUUCUCCCUGACCCUUUAAGGGUCCUGAAGGAACGUUGAAGACGACGACGUUGAUAGGCCGGGUGUGUAAGCGCAGCGAUGCGUUGAGCUAACCGGUACUAAUGAACCGUGAGGCUUAACCUU